UAACCUGCCCAAGAGAUCGGGAUAACACCUGGAAACAGAUGCUAAUACCGGAUAACAACAGAUGAUGCCUAUCAACUGUUUAAAAGAUGGUUCUGCUAUCACUCUUGGAUGGACCUGCGGUGCAUUAGCUAGUUGGUAGGGUAACGGCCUACCAAGGCGAUGAUGCAUAGCCGAGUUGAGAGACUGAUCGGCCACAUUUGGGACUGAGACACGGCCCAAACUCCUACGGGAGGCAGCAGCC
rnacentral:rRNA from 1 species